rnacentral:rRNA from 1 species
GUCCACGCCGUAAACGAUGUCAACUAGCCGUUGGGAGCCUUGAGCUCUUAGUGGCGCAGCUAACGCAUUAAGUUGACCGCCUGGGAGUACGGCCGCAAGGUUAAACUCAAAUGAAUUGACGGGGCCCGCACAAGCGGUGGAGCAUGUGGUUUAAUUCGAAGCAACGCGAAGAACCUUACCAGGCCUUGACAUCCAAUGAACUUUCCAGAGAUGGAUUGGUGCCUUCGGGAACAUUGAGACAGGUGCUGCAUGGCUGUCGU